rnacentral:rRNA from 1 species
UACGUAGGGUGCGAGCGUUGUCCGGAAUUAUUGGGCGUAAAGAGCUCGUAGGCGGUGUGUCACGUCGAUCGUGAAAACUUGGGGCUUAACUCUGAGCUUGCGGUCGAUACGGGCAUCACUGGAGUUCGGCAGGGGAGACUGGAAUUCCUGGUGUAGCGGUGAAAUGCGCAGAUAUCAGGAGGAACACCGGUGGCGAAGGCGGGUCUCUGGGCCGAUACUGACGCUGAGGAGCGAAAGCGUGGGAGCGAACAGG